rnacentral:SRP_RNA from 1 species
GGUAGACACAGUGAUGCAUGCCUGUAGUCCCAGCUACUCAGGAGGCUGGAGGAUCUCUUGAGUCCAGGAGUUCUGGGCUGUAGUGUGCUAUGCUGAUCCGGUGUCCGCACUAAGUUUGGCAUCAAUAUGGUGACGUCCCGGGAGCAGGGGACCACCAGGUUGCCUAAGGAGGGGUGAACUGCCCCAGGUUGGAAACGGAGCAGGUCAAAACUCCCUUACUGAUCAGUAGUGGGAUUGCGCCUGUGAAUAGCCACUGCACUCCAGCCUGGGCAGCAGAGCAAGACCUCAU